rfam:Mycobacterium sp. 1164966.3 contig_38, whole genome shotgun sequence.
AGCGCUGCGCAAGUGGGCCGACGGUCGACUCCGGUAGCGCAAGGGGCGUCAGCCCGCCCCGGAAAGCUGCAU